CAUGCAAGUCGAACGGCAGCACGGGUGCUUGCACCUGGUGGCGAGUGGCGAACGGGUGAGUAAUACAUCGGAACGUACCUUGUAGUGGGGGAUAGCUCGGCGAAAGCCGGAUUAAUACCGCAUACGCUCUGAGGAGGAAAGCGGGGGACCUUCGGGCCUCGCGCUACAAGAGCGGCCGAUGUCAGAUUAGCUAGUUGGUGAGGUAAAAGCUCACCAAGGCGACGAUCUGUAGCUGGUCUGAGAGGACGACCAGCCACACUGGGACUGAGACACGGCCCAGACUCCUACGGGAGGCAGCAGUGGGGAAUUUUGGACAAUGGGCGAAAGCCUGAUCCAGCAAUGCCGCGUGUGUGAAGAAGGCCUUCGGGUUGUAAAGCACUUUUGUCCGGAAAGAAAUCCUCUGGGUUAAUACCUCGGGGGGAUGACGGUACCGGAAGAAUAAGCACCGGCUAACUACGUGCCAGCAGCCGCGGUAAUACGUAGGGUGCAAGCGUUAAUCGGAAUUACUGGGCGUAAAGCGUGCGCAGGCGGUUUUGUAAGACGGAUGUGAAAUCCCCGGGCUUAACCUGGGAACUGCAUUCGUGACUGCAAGGCUAGAGUAUGGCAGAGGGGGGUAGAAUUCCACGUGUAGCAGUGAAAUGCGUAGAGAUGUGGAGGAAUACCGAUGGCGAAGGCAGCCCCCUGGGCCAAUACUGACGCUCAUGCACGAAAGCGUGGGGGAGCAAACAGGAUUAGAUACCCUGGUAGUCCACGCCCUAAACGAUGUCAACUAGUUGUUGGGGAUUCAUUUCCUUAGUAACGUAGCUAACGCGUGAAGUUGACCGCCUGGGGAGUACGGUCGCAAGAUUAAAACUCAAAGGAAUUGACGGGGACCCGCACAAGCGGUGGAUGAUGUGGAUUAAUUCGAUGCAACGCGAAAAACCUUACCUACCCUUGACAUGUACGGAAUCCUGCUGAGAGGUGGGAGUGCUCGAAAGAGAACCGUAACACAGGUGCUGCAUGGCUGUCGUCAGCUCGUGUCGUGAGAUGUUGGGUUAAGUCCCGCAACGAGCGCAACCCUUGUCCUUAGUUGCUACGCAAGAGCACUCUAAGGAGACUGCCGGUGACAAACCGGAGGAAGGUGGGGAUGACGUCAAGUCCUCAUGGCCCUUAUGGGUAGGGCUUCACACGUCAUACAAUGGUCGGUACAGAGGGCUGCCAAACCGCGAGGUGGAGCUAACCCCAGAAAACCGAUCGUAGUCCGGAUCGCAGUCUGCAACUCGACUGCGUGAAGCUGGAAUCGCUAGUAAUCGCGGAUCAGCAUGUCGCGGUGAAUACGUUCCCGGGUCUUGUACACACCGCCCGUCACACCAUGGGAGUGGGUUUUGCCAGAAGUAGGUAGCCUAACCGCAAGGAGGGCGCU
rnacentral:rRNA from 2 species